AGGGCUGGAACCCAAGAACUGUGAGAUCAUGACCUGAGCCGGAGUCGGACGCUCAACCGACUGAGCCACCCAGGCACCCCAUGGGAGACUCUUGAACUUGGCACCGUUUGCCAUGGCUCCUGUCGCCGUGCUCCCCAGGCAUGCUUACUGCUCCAGACCUAAAAUCAGCCGUUUCUCCAAGGAGCCAUUUGGCCACUAGGGUUACACAGCUUUCUUUUUUCUACACAAACUCUAGCAAACAAAUGAAGCCAUUCUGCAGUUUCACAACAGGUGCAUCUUCGUCCCCAUAACUGACUUUGGAAAACAAAAGCUCUGAGGAUUUCUUCUACUUUACCCCCUGCUAUGCCCCACCCGCAACCCCCCUCAGGCAGUGAGCACCAGGCUGACUUUAGUGUGAAUUCAGGAAAGAGGAAGGCGGGGAGACCCAGGGAAAAAACCCAGGAUAUGUAAAGCUCAUAGCACGUGAACUAGGUGAUCAGAUAAAUGAUUAAUCCCAUCCUUCUGAUUUGUUCUUUCCUCCUGUCUACAAAAACAUACCUUUGAAUUCAAUAAUUCUUAGCAGCGUUAAUACGACUACUUCUCACUGGAGAGGAGGAAAAUGCAGAGAAUCAACUAGUUACAUUGUAACGCACGUUGCUGAGAAAUGCCUCUUCUGGUGUUUGUGCAGCUCCUGCUCCCAGAGCCUCCGGGAGCUGGCUUUCCUGCCCCAACAUGCGAUUUUGUAGCAGCGAUGCACAUUUGAAUCCUGGAAACUCCUCCGUGCUCUCCCUCCUCUUUCCACACCCGGCCCCUCCUCCUCAUCUUGUCAGAAUCUAAAGUUCAGAAAGACAAGUUCAUGGAACUCAAUGCCAGGAAGCCUUGAGUAAUCUCGCUUUGCAUAAUACAGUUCUUAGGGUUGCUUUUCAAAUGCCAAAACGCCUUGUCAUCUAAGUUUCUUUCUUGUUUUUGAUAAAGAAGUGGGUACUAAGGAAUAUUGCUGUGUGGAAGGAAGAACAGUGAUCCAGCCCAGCCACGACGCUGUUUGAAGACCCAAACCAACCACGCAGAGAGACCCAUGUGGAGAGAAACUGAGGACGAGCCUACAUGCAGCUUCGACCACCGAACGUGGGAAUGAGGGAGCCUUCAGGCGUCUUCUAGCGGAAGCCCUGGAUAAGGAGGAGCAGACACAAGUCCUCGUGGCUGACGCGCCUUCUGAACUCCUGAGCCACGGCACCUGGGAGCAAAGUACACAGCGUCCCGGUGGCAGUGAGUUGGGGGGCACUGGAGCGGCUAACACGUCAGGGGUUGAAAUCGGGAAUCCCCGGCUCUUUGCGCUCUACUUCCGCCCUUUCCCAGCUCUUGCUACCUGCUGAACCACCAGCAGUGUUCUUAGCAAGUCGGCAGGCUCCCAUCUCCCAGCCUGGGGACCUCUGACUAAUCUCAAGAGCAGUCAUUUAUAUUUGGAGAAGAAAAAUCAGAAUCCAAAGACAAUUGUUCACAGAAUGUGGAAGAGGCUCCCCUGUCUUUGGUGAGAGCUCUGGUUCUUUCCAGAAAGGAGAGGCUCCAGCCCACGGAUGGCCCACCCCCACGCCAGAAAACCUGAGUCAAACAAAAAGUAAUGAGAACGUCUGUUCAUGCCUGCCGCCCUUGCUGUUCGCGCUGAUCACAAAGGCUCCUUUUUUGUUGUUGUUGCCGUGUUUAAUAAGUCUCUAAGCAUCUGUCAAGGCAAGCAUUCUCUUUUCUAUGCCCACCUUACCUCCCUCCAAAACAGUGGGGCUUCUUCCUUCCAUUUGGUGUAGCAUUAAAAAAAAAAAAAAAUUUGCACUUAACUUUUCCUGGGCAGGCCUAGAAGCGCAUCUGUGAGCCUUCAGGCUGGAGA